rnacentral:rRNA from 1 species
UAACGUGCCCUUUAGUCGGGGAUAGCUGGCCGAAAGGCCAGGUAAUACCGGGUGAGAUUACAGAUGGGCAUCCAUUUGUAAUGAAAGCAGCAAUGCGCUAGAGGAGCGGUCUGCGGCCUAUUAGCUUGUUGGUGAGGUAAAGGCUCACCAAGGCGACGAUGGGUAGCCGGUCUGAGAGGAUGAUCGGCCACACUGGCACUGAGAUACGGGCCAG